UAGGGAAUAUUGGACAAUGGGGGCAACCCUGAUCCAGCCAUGCCGCGUGAGUGAAGAAGGCCCUCGGGUUGUAAAGCUCUUUUGUCCGGAAAGAAAAGCAUUCGGUGAAUACCCGGAUGUUCUGACGGUACCGGAAGAAUAAGCACCGGCUAACUUCGUGCCAGCAGCCGCGGUAAUACGAAGGGUGCAAGCGUUACUCGGAAUUACUGGGCGUAAAGCGUGCGUAGGUGGUUGUUUAAGUCUGAUGUGAAAGCCCUGGGCUCAACCUGGGAAUGGCAUUGGNGACUGGGCAGCUAGAGUGCGGUAGAGGGUAGUGGAAUUCCCGGUGUAGCAGUGAAAUGCGUAGAGAUCGGGAGGAACAUCUGUGGCGAAGGCGACUGCCUGGACCAGCACUGACACUGAGGCACGAAAGCGUGGGGAGCAAACA
rnacentral:rRNA from 1 species